rnacentral:piRNA from 1 species
UACCUCUACUGCAGCCCUGGAACCCAAUGU